CACAGACUCAGAGUGGUCAAAGUAUUUACAACCAUUUUAUUCAAUCAUUACUUUUCGGAAAGGGGAUGUGCACGCUGCUAAGCAUCGGCAGAUCUGAAGCAUUAGAAGCCAAAUUUGUAUAAUAUAGUCAGUUAUUUUGGUACUCUGCUCGACUUAUACGUCACACACAGUUUCGAUCAAAACAACUUCUGUACAUCUGCAUCCUGUUCUUCUGCAGCUCUGCACAAAGCGUCCUGUUCUGCACAGUUUCCUGUCUUGCUCAGCAACCUAUGACCUUUAACACACUUUAUGACUGAAAGAUGGCCUGUUUUAAUAUACUGGCCUACAUAAAACAAUAUAAUCAUAAAAUAAGCACAUAAGAAAAUAUAUAUAUAUUCCUUAACAAGAACUAAUACCAAUGAUAUUGUGAGAAGCACUCCAAGGUGAACAAAUGUGGAUAUUUUUUUAAUUCUGCUUUGUUUUCACUCAGUUGAAUGUUACUUUUAAAGUCUUGGAUUUGUUAACAUGGCUAAUAACUGGUUGGCUAUUUUGCUACAUAAGCGGGGUGUGUUAAGUUGCAUCCAGCCAAAAGUACUUUCAGGUUUGUCUUAGGGAGAAACGAGCAGACAGUGCACUUGUUAAGCUCAAAGAAAGGUGGCUUAUUAACAGGGGCCAAACAUGACUUUUUAAGCACAGGAGUGUAUGUCUGUCCAUCCAUGUCCAGCAGCACCACCAGCAGGUAGGCCCAGACCUGGAUCAAGCUCCUCCAUGAGCACAGAGGCUUCCACAGCUUCACCUCCACCCUACCCUCACUCUGAAAAACAAGUGUCACCAGUGUCAACCAACCUUCCCCAGCCUGAAACUGCUGGAGCCAUUGCAUCAUCUUCGCCUCAAGUCACCAGAUCGAGUAAAGAGUUUAACCCAGGAAUGAAUGAGCCGGCUACCAGUUUGUAUGACAGCAUCACCACAUGAAGUCAUGGGCUUGGAUGGAAACAUUGAUCCACAAUUUACACCAACAGCAACUAAAAUAGAGACUGAUUAUUUUAAAGUGGAGACAAACCAUCUCAUCAUGAAUCAACAGCAUUAUCCUCAACCUUAAAGACAGACUAGCAGCAUACAAACAUCACAGCCUGCAUGGCCAUGGAGAUUAAACUUUUGUAUCUACCUGUGUGGAUUAGAAAAUGAGACAAACAUGGAGUAUUGACACGGCCUGAUGCCAUCCAAAUCACAAACUGUGUUAAAAAC
rnacentral:lncRNA from 1 species